rnacentral:misc_RNA from 1 species
GAUGAAGAACGUAGCAAAAUGCGAUACUUGGUGUGAAUUGCAGAAUCCCGUGAACCAUCGAGUUUUUGAAUGCAAGUUGCGCCCGAAGCCUUUUGGCCGAGGGCACGUCUGCCUGGGCGUCACGCAUCGCGUCGCCCCCCACAAUUCUCCGUAAAGGGAACGUGUGUUUUGGGGGCGGAUAUUGGUCUCCCGUGCUCAUGGCGUGGUUGGCCGAAAUAGGAGUCCUUUCGAUGGACGCACGAACUAGUGGUGGUCGUAAAAACCCUCGUCUUUUGUUUCGUGCUGUUGCUCGCAAGGUAAACUCUUUAAAAACCCCAAUGUGUCGUCUCUUGACGACGCUUCGACCGCGACCCCAGGUCAGGCGGGACUACCCGCUGAGUUUAAGCAUAUCAAUAAGCGGAGGA